GCACUGCUGAAGAAUCUCAAAACAAGACGAAAUGGCCGUCCAGUGC
rfam:Schistosoma curassoni strain Dakar, Senegal genome assembly, scaffold: SCTD_scaffold0000400